AAUAGCUCCUUUAGGUUGGGGCGACCUUGGAAAAAAAAAGAACUUCCAAACUAAAUGACCUACACCACACCUCAUAGGCCAACAAGCCUACAAUCGACCCAGCACAGCUGAAUAAUGAACCAAGUUACUCCAGGGAUAACAGCGCCAUCUUCUUCAAGAGCCCAUAUCAAAAAGAAGGUUUACGACCUCGAUGUUGGAUCAGGACAUCCUAUUGGUGCAGCCGCUAUUAAGGGUUCGUUUGUUCAACGAUUAACAGUCCCACGUGAUCUGAGUUCAGACNGGA
rnacentral:rRNA from 1 species